AACCUCCGCAAUGUGAGAAAUCGCGACGGGGGGAUCCCAAGUGCCAUUCUUAACGGGAUGGCUUUUCAUUAGUGUAAAGAGCUUUGGGAAUAAGAGCUGGGCAAGACCGGUGCCAGCCGCCGCGGUAACACCGGCAGCUCUAGUGGUAACAAUUUUUAUUGGGCCUAAAGCGUCCGUAGCCGGUUUAAUAAGUCUCUGGUGAAAUCCUGUAGCUUAACUGUGGGAAUUGCUGGAGAUACUAUUAGACUUGAGACCGGGAGAGGUUAGAGGUACUCCCAGGGUAGAGGUGAAAUUCUGUAAUCCUGGGAGGACCGCCUGUUGCGAAGGCGUCUAACUGGAACGGUUCUGACGGUGAGGGACGAAAGUUAGGGGCGCGAACCGGAUUAGAUACCCGGGUAGUCCUAACUGUAACGAUGCGGACUUGGUGUUGGGGUGGCUUUGAGCUGCUCCAGUGCCGAAGGGAAGCUGUUAAGUCCGCCGCCUGGGAAGUACGGUCGCAAGACUGAAACUUAAGGAAUU
rnacentral:rRNA from 1 species